GCGGAAGUGGUGAAACGGCAGACACGCAGGUCUUAGGAACCUGUGCCCCGCAAAGGGCGUGGGGGUUCGAGUCCCCCCUUCCGCACCA
rnacentral:tRNA from 1 species